GCAACUUCUGCUCCUACUGCCACCAAUGCCUUCUCAUCCCCUCAGCCGCUGACUCGUCUCCGAACCCUGCCUCAUCCGGGAACCAACGGCCAGGAAACGUCAUAGAAGGGUUGAAAUACAUCUGCAUGGAGUAAGGAUCUGAACGGUGCCCCAUCCCCACAAAGCCACUGGGUGGUCUGUCAGGCUUUGGACAUUUAUUUGCUAAGAAUCUGUCCUUUUUCUGAUUACCGUCAUUGAUAAACCACAGGUGACACCAAGCCUGAAGAUGCAGACCUAGUGAAGAUCUAGGCCUCACCGGUGAAGAUCUAGGCCUCACCAGUGAAUGGGCCAUCUCAACUGAUAUCAGUCUUCCAACAAUCACAUAAGAUGAAUUGACUCAAUUAAGGAAGGCACAUGCCCUACGCUUUGCAAAGUCUGAGAAAGGCUAUUAAUGAUAGAAUGUUUUGGAGGUCAUCAAUUCGUGAGGUUGCUAACUUGCUACAGAUUGGAAGCAAUGUAAUGGCAUUUAACACACAAGAACCAUGUCUCAUUCCUCCCAAUACGUUCAUUCUCUUUUUCCAACUGCACAGGGUGUAAAUUUUUGAUGAGGAGGAUGCAAAUUCUAGUAUGUGAUCUCUGGCAAGCUCAAGAGCAAUUUGGACAGAAACAAAUGCAUAGAAUUCUCACCUGACAGUCCCAUCUCUAAUAGUAUAUUCAGAAUUUGGGCCCCUCAGCCUGGUAGACUGUGAAUUGGUAAUUUAGCAGAUUGCACAAGGACUAUAGUGUGUACAGCAAGGCCCAUCCAAUCUCUCUGUGUGUUCCAAGAAUAAAAUUACUCAUAGCCAUUUCAUCUAUGCAAACAAAUAUACUUAAUUUAUUGUAGGUACUCCAUUUCUGGAUGGGAUAGAGUAAAUAUAAGUUCCUAAUCUAGUCUAACUAACUAGAAUGGAGAGAAACACAGGGCCUGCAUCCUGUCCUCAUGGUUGCAAGAUGGAGAAGAGAAGCACCUGUGAAUGGAGGUGAGAGAAGAAACAGGAAGGAAGUUUCCCUGAUAGUAUCAGUCUACACAUCAAAGGAAUAGUGUCAGAGCAGUAGGGAAAGCAUAUUCAGUGCAAAAAAGCCAAAUUGUGUGUAACGUAUAUGACAGAGGAACAAGACAGCACGUCACACACUGAAGACGG